rnacentral:rRNA from 1 species
GGUGAGGUAAUGGCUCACCAAGGCGACGAUCGGUAGCCGAACUGAGAGGUUGAUCGGCCGCAUUGGGACUGAGACACGGCCCAGACUCCUACGGGAGGCAGCAGUGGGGGAUAUUGCACAAUGGAGGAAACUCUGAUGCAGCAACGCCGCGUGAGGGAAGAAGGUCUUCGGAUUGUAAACCUUAGUAGUCAGGGAAGAAAGAAAUGACGGUACCUGAAAAGUAAGCUCCGGCUAACUACGUGCCAGCAGCCGCGGUAAUACGUAGGGAGCAAGCGUUGUCCGGAUUUACUGGGUGUAAAGGGUGCGUAGGCGGGACUGCAAGUCAGGCGUGAAAUACCGAGGCUUAACCUCGGGGCUGCGUUUGAAACUGUAGUUCUUGAGUGAAGUAGAGGCAGGCGGAAUUCCUAGUGUAGCGGUGAAAUGCGUAGAUAUUAGGAGGAACACCAGUGGCGAAGGCGGCCUGCUGGGCUUUAACUGACGCUGAGGCACGAAAGCAUGGGGAGCAAACAGGAUUAGAUACCCUGGUAGUCCAUGCCGUAAACGAUGAUAGCUAGGUGUGGGGGGACUGACCCCUUCCGUGCCGGAGUAAACACAAUAA